rnacentral:rRNA from 1 species
GACGAACCUUGCUAACGUUAUUCGGAAUUACUGGGCUUAAAGGGUGCGUAGGCGGGAUGGCAAGUCGGUCGUGAAAUCCCUCGGCUCAACUGAGGAUCGUCGAUCGAUACUGCCGUUCUUGAGGAUUGCAGAGGAGACUGGAAUUCCCGGUGUAGCGGUGAAAUGUGUAGAGAUCGGGAGGAACACCGGUGGCGAAGGCGGGUCUCUGGGCAAUUCCUGACGCUGAGGCGCGAAAGCGUGGGGAGCAAACGGG